CGUUCCGGGGAAACCUGCAGGACAGGAGCGCGCUGGCAGCCAGCGCGGAGCCGCGUCGCGGCGCCCCCCACCCUUGGCGGCCCCUACCCUGCGCGACCCUGGGUUUUAUGGCUGGGCACGCUUGGGUGGCAGAGGGGUCGCGGCCACCCAUCUUAAGAGGAGGCACACAUGCUUGUGGGCCGGUCCCCGCUGAGGCUGCCGGCCCCUGGGACCCAAGUCUGCAGGCACACGGAGCCUCUGGGUGCCAAGGGUGCCGGCCAGCGAGGAGAGAGAGGAGGAUUAGGCUCUAUCUAGGUUCUGACGGCGGUGCAGCUUGGCCCGAAUAUGCCCAAAUCCUCUGGGGUCUCCAGACCUCAGAUCUCCCCUUCUGAGAAGAUGGGACCACCCAAGGUCACAGGAGGCCCUGUGUGGUCACAGGCUGCCACGUGGGGUCACACGAGGUCAGGGAAGUCUCAUGCGGAUCACAUGGAGUCAUAGAAUCUCAGGACAGAGGCCAUUAUAUUCAUACACAACCAUGUGUGGCACAUGAAGUCUCAACAAGCCCCUCAGAGCUGCAGUGAGUGGCCACACAGCCACCCACAUCUGGAUGAUCACACUGCUGGCUGAGGGGUUGGACACCUUCUGUUCCAGUGUCUGGGAUUGAAAGGAGGAAGCCCAGUUGCACAUUCUUCUAAAAGACAGGCCUCCAGCACCGAGGACAGCGCUCAGGCAGCCCGACCCUGGCUCUAUACCUGCUGCUCUCCCAGGCCUGGCCCCAGCUGGCCCAGGAACAAGAGGGUAGGAAACCAGAGAGCAGAGGUGAGGCAGCAGAGGGUGGAAGAGCCAGGGGCCUCCUGGGAGCCGCUGGAGACCACCUACCCUCUGCACAUGUGCUUACAGCUCAGUGACUGGGGAGCCUGUUCCUUUGGGGCCUGCAGUACCGGCAGAUGUGUGCCCUGGCCUGUCUGUGUAUACCCUGUAGGUGCAAGUGUGCAGAUGUGUACCUCUGAGGCACUCCCCAUGUUUACUAUAGGACCCUCCACUUUCUUCCCCGUUGCAAGAUCUGGGCUCUUGGAGAGUUGUUUCCACUAAAACUUCGGCACAGCCUGGUAGGAUCUCUCCAUAAAUGUGUCAUGUGACUGUCAGAAUGCCCCCUUCUUUCCCAUUGGCAGCAGAUUAACUGAAGACCUGCUGGUGCUCAGGAGGAGACCCAGGGGGAUCCAGAAGGCUGGGCAGAAAGAAGACACCUCCCCCAGACCAGAUUGGCCUAGAGAAGUGGGCAGGCCUAGGCAGGGGGACCAGCAAAACAUUUCUUUGCAGAGCAGCAGCCCCGGGGCCAGGCAGCAGGCCCUGGGCCCAGCCCUGCUUUGCAGCACUCAGCAUCAGGAGCUUUGCUGCAGAAGUGCUCCAGGACAUUGCGGCUCUUGGCAGCCUCCUCUCCAGAGUGAUGUCAUGGGACACAUUUAGCCUGGCCUCCUGCAGGAUGUUGCAUCCACUUGCUCUUCCUACAGAUGUCUCUGCUGUUUGUGAAUAUUUUAAUUAAAAAACCUGUGCUGGAGCUGUGA